rnacentral:RNase_P_RNA from 1 species
CGAGUAAAUGAGGCAGUCGCGGGAACAUGUCCGCAAGGCGGUUCUCGAGGAAAGUCCGAGCUCCGCAGGGCAGGGUGCUGGGUAACACCCAGUGGGGGCGACCCUAAGGACAGUGCCACAGAAAAUAUACCGCCCGGCACUCAACUCUAACGAAAAUAUCUUUUUGCUGUAGCACGGCGCUGGAGAAAAACAAGGAUGUGCAAUCUGAAGUAGACAGUUAUUUUUGUUAGAGUUGAGUGCUGGGCAAGGGUGCAACGGUGCGGUAAGAGCGCACCAGGGGCCGGGAGACCGGUCUGCUAGGUAAACCCCACCCGGAGCAAGACCAAAUAGGAGGAGAAUGAGGUUGCCCGCUGACUCCUCGGGUUAGGUCGCUGGAGGCGCCAGGCAACUGUCGCCCUAGAUAGAUGGCUGCCGCUUCCCCGGCAUUUGCCGGGGGAGAACAGAACUCGGCUUACCAUUUUGCUCGGGAC